CAUCGCUGGUUCAGCUCCAGGCUACCAAUAAAGCAAAUAUUGCAAUAAGGCAAGGCACACAAAUUUUUUUGGUUUCUCACUACAUAUAAAAGUUAUGUUGGCCAGGCAUGGUGGUUCAUGCCUGUAAUCCCAGCACUUUGGGAGGCCGAGGCAGGUGGAUCGCUUGAGUUCAGGAAUUCAAGACCAGCCUGGCCAACAUGGGGAAACCCCGUCUCUACUAAAAAUACAAAAAUUAGCCGGGU
rnacentral:lncRNA from 10 species